AACCUUCAGAAGGUUUCAGGUAAUUAUCCAGAUCACAUUAACUGGCAGCUGCAAUACCUGCUGCAAUCCUGUACACACCAUUGUUUUCCAUACUUCCAGUCCAACCACAGCCCUUCCCUCGUGACCGUACACCAGAAAACAGGCUUUGCUUGCAGUGCAGGGCAUCAUAGAGUCCUCAUACAGGGACUCUCCAUUCCUUGUCAUCACUUGUUAUGAAAAUACUGCAUUCCCACUCUAUUUUAGGAUUUGCUCUCUGCAAAUGAUGAUAAUAAUUGGGACUGUGCCUCACUUCAGAAUUUUUCUACUCCCUACAGUACCCAAGGACAGAUUUUGUCUUCUGAUAUCUUCCAGAAUGAUGUCCUGAAUAAAGUUAAUUUUACUUUUGUUUCCAUCUGUAUUUCCUGGGUUCACUGAGUAUUCAAAUCAUCAUUUAAGGCAUGAACAGCAAUUGCAAGACAGCUAACCUGAAGACAUUCAACUGCCUUUUGCUACAUGAAGGUCCUGUUUYCCUCCCUUUGGCAAUUAUACCAAUGUCCUGGAAGAAUUCUCUAAUGCUGACUAACAUCUUCUAUUUUACAUCUGCAAGUACAGGGCACUUCAUUAUGUGCAGGAACUGAAAUGCUUAAAUGGAUGAAGCAGCUAUUUACGUCUGAUAGGAGCUAAGUGGGACAUUAAAUUAAUGCCAAACAAGUGAGUGCUCAUUUUAGUUUCGUUAUAAAUGGCUGCAGCAAAGCAGUAAUGUGUUGACUCUCCUGUGCUGACAAGUACURUAUUUCUUACAAACUUCCCUUAGAACUCAAUGUGGAAAGACAAAUUCACACUCUGCAUGAUAAAAUUAGCAGUAGAUACAUUAAUAAUUGAAUAAGGAUCUCUGGGGAAACACCAUAGUUUACCAGGAGAGUUGGUGACUGACUGGUUUUAAGAAGAGGCUCCUGUCAUUACUAUGCACUCACAUAAGCCCAAGGUAAGAGCCACUGCUUCUGGCCUUUGGUAUCAAAUCCACUUCCUGCUUUUAGGAGACCUCAGCUUACUUCCAUAAUAAGCAUUCUGCAGAUCCRUGAGCAGACUGCCUACAAUUAAUCUUGGCAGUGUAUGGACUUGCUCGUCUAUGGUUCCUCUGGGACUGUUCUCAAACUUACAGUCAAAUUCAAGACAGUCCCUUUUCACUGUCUCCAGACGAUGACUGGAGUAUGAGUGAAUGAAGGACUUUCUCACUGUAUGACAAGACUCUUGCCAUAUGUCUCCAWAUCUUCAGUUCAUACAAAGCUGAAACAUUUUCCUGAAGAGGAAAACCCACUGGAAGGGCCAACUUCUGUCAGAAAAGCAUUAAGUGAGCAUACUGCCAUCUUCAUUUCCAUCCCUGUAAGCAAAGCUGAGGUCCUUUGAAUGACUCACAGGCAUAGCAUGCUUAACAUGCAUUCCACGUUUUGGGAGUGUGUGGGUAGGGCAGGAAGAAAGGACCUCCUCUCUUUUGGACAGUAGCAAAGAAAAUAAGAUGAUUUCUAGGAAAAAAACCUGCUUUUUACAGCCACCAACAAGGCCAUGAUGCAUUACUAAUACCAAAACUAUGAUCAUUCCUUACACCAAAUAAUUUUGUGUUCAAAGACAUUGGCA
ensembl:lncRNA